GGGGAUGACUUGGUUUUGACGUGGGUCAAGAAACUUUUAGGAGCAUAUAGAGGACGCUUGAGGACCUCUUAAAAAACAAGCACUUUUUAAUUGGCGACAAUCAUGUUGCUCUUGCUGCUUAAUUUAUUGUAGCAACACGGAACCUUUUAAGACAGCGAAAAAGGGGAAGUGCUGACUUUAGCUGUCUCGGUUUUUUAUUUUUUUUAUAGGUAAAAAACUUAAAUUUAUAUAGAAAAAAUUAAAGUAAAGUUUGUUCUUGUACUUUCUUUAAUUUUUUAAACAAGAACUAAAUAUGUAGAGCCUGAAAGAGGACGUCUUGCGGACAGGGGUUCAAUUCCCCUCAUCUCCACCA
rnacentral:tmRNA from 1 species